UACGGGAGGCAGCAGUGGGGAAUAUUGCACAAUGGGCGAAAGCCUGAUGCAGCUAUGCCGCGUGUAUGAAGAAGGCCUUAGGGUUGUAAAGUACUUUCAUCGGGGAGGAAAAACAAAACUAAUAAUUUUAUUUCUUGACGUUACCCGAAAAAGAAGCACCGGCUAACUCCGUGCCAGCAGCCGCGGUAAUACGGAGGGUGCUAGCGUUAAUCAGAAUUACUGGGCGUAAAGAGCACGUAGGUGGUUUUUUUAAGUCAGAUGUGAAAUCCCUGGGCUUAACCUAGGAACUGCAUUUUGAAACUGAAAUACUAGAGUAUCGUAGAGGGAGGUAGAAUUCUAGGUGUAGCGGUGAAAUGCGUAGAUAUCUGGAGGAAUACCUGUGGCGAAAGCGGCCUCCUAAACGAAUACUGACACUGAGGGUGCGAAAGCGUGGGGAGCGAAACAGGGAUUAGACUACC
rnacentral:rRNA from 1 species